GUGUGAUUUCACUCCCAUGUAACUCUUGUCCUGACCCUUGUUUUUCAGCUUCUUCCACCCCCAACCCAGUCCGUCCACCUGCCUGACCAAGAGUGUGUGAUGUGCCCGACCUGCAGAUGGUGGGACCUUCAAGAGUUAAAUGAAGCUCAGGAAUAGUCAUUGAGAGGAUGAGAGAGCUGAUCAAAGAUUCGUACAAGGAGGGCCCGAUUGAGAUGAGAAAUCAGAAAACUCCUGGUGGUGGUGGUGAUCCAGUGUUUUUCUCUCAAGAGCCCAGAUGCUCAGAAUCUCCACACUGCAGAAUUAUCAAAGAGCAAAUGAGAGAGGCUUGAAUUUGUCCAUAUGCUCAAGAUAUAAUUAAGAACCAAUAGAGAAAGUCACUUUCUUUGCCAUCCCCUUGGACCUGGAGAGAAAUAGGACGGCU
rnacentral:lncRNA from 9 species